GAUGAACGCUGGCGGCGUGCCUAAUACAUGCAAGUCGAGCGAACAGACGAGGAGCUUGCUCCUCUGACGUUAGCGGCGGACGGGUGAGUAACACGUGGAUAACCUACCUAUAAGACUGGGAUAACUUCGGGAAACCGUAGCUAAUACCGGAUAAUAUAUUGAACCGCAUGGUUCAAUAGUGAAAGACGGUUUUGCUGUCACUUAUAGAUGGAUCCGCGCCGCAUUAGCUAGUUGGUAAGGUAACGGCUUACCAAGGCAACGAUGCGUAGCCGACCUGAGAGGGUGAUCGGCCACACUGGAACUGAGACACGGUCCAGACUCCUACGGGAGGCAGCAGUAGGGAAUCUUCCGCAAAGGGCGAAAGCUUGACGGAGCAACGCCGCGUGAGUGAUGAAGGUCUUCGGAUCGUAAAACUCUGUUAUUAGGGAAGAACAAAUGUGUAAGUAACUAUGCACGUCUUGACGGUACCUAAUCAGAAAGCCACGGCUAACUACGUG
rnacentral:rRNA from 1 species